GACGAACGCUGGCGGCGUGCUUAACACAUGCAAGUCGAACGGAAAGGCCCUGCUUUUGUGGGGUGCUCGAGGGGCGAACGGGUGAGUAACACGUGAGUAACCUGCCCUUGACUUUGGGAUAACUUCAGGAAACUGGGGCUAAUACCGGAUAGGAGCUCCUGCUGCAUGGUGGGGGUUGGAAAGUUUCGGCGGUUGGGGAUGGACUCGCGGCUUAUCAGCUUGUUGGUGGGGUAGUGGCUUACCAAGGCUUUGACGGGUAGCCGGCCUGAGAGGGUGACCGGCCACAUUGGGACUGAGAUACGGCCCAGACUACUACGGGAGGCAGUAGUGGGGAAUAUUGCACGAUGGGCGGAAGCAUGAUGCAGCAACGCCGCGUGCGGGAUGACGGCCUUCGGGUUGUAAACCGCUUUCGCCUGUGACGAAGCGUGAGUGACGGUAAUGGGUAAAGAAGCACCGGCUAACUACGUG
rnacentral:rRNA from 1 species